GAUGAACGCUAGCGGGAGGCUUAAUACAUGCAAGUCGAACGGCAACAUGAUGAUAGCAAUAUUAUUGAUGGCGAGUGGCGCACGGGUGAGUAACACGUACAUAACCUGCCCUUUACUGAGGGAUAGCCUUGGGAAACUGGGAGUAACCCCUCAUAGUGUACAUUGGACGCAUGUCUGAUGUAAUAAAUUCUUCGGGAGGUAAAGGAUGGAUGUGCGGCUGAUUAGUUAGUUGGUGAGGUAACGGCCCACCAAGGCUACGAUCAGUAGCUGGUCUGAGAGGAUGAUCAGCCACACUGGAACUGAGACACGGUCCAGACUCCUACGGGAGGCAGCAGUAAGGAAUAUUGCUCAAUGGCCGAAAGGCUGAAGCAGCAACGCCGCGUGGAGGAUGAAAUACUUUUGUAUGUAAACUCCUGUAAGAAGGGAAAAUAAACAGAUUUUCUGUGUUGAUUGUACCUU
rnacentral:rRNA from 1 species